rnacentral:lncRNA from 1 species
UGCUCCGGGCCAAGGUGAGCCAGCCCCACCGCCGCAGCAUUCGCCGGCGAGGCGAACGACGAGGAGGAGGGAGGCAGGGGAGGGAGCUCCGAGAAGGAGGUGGUGGUGUUCGUCGUCGUCGUCGGAGGUGGAACAAUGGCGGCGUAGGACGAAGAAGCAGGGAGGUAGUACGAUUCUUGCGGCAAUGGAGACGAGUAGGAGAAGGGAGUGGUGGUGGUGGUGGAGAUGGAGCUAGAGGAGUAGAACAAUGGCGUGGAGGUGGAGGUGGAGGUGGGUGAAGCGCUCCUGAUAAAAGGUUCGAGCGCUUUCAUGAGCUCCUGAUCCGAGGAAGAAGACGAGGACGAGGAGCUCAGCUGAUACUUGUACAAAUCUAUGGCCGCCAUUAGCAACAACACUAAAGGCUACCAAGAACUAAAAGAAAAAAAAGUUUUGUUUUGUGCAGAAUCUGAACUAAAAUAAUUGAUUGAUUAAGCCCUGUUUCUUCAAAAAAAGCGAAGAACAGGGGUGGUUCUUGCAGAGCCUGGAUGAAAGGGGCCUGUAAAAACGACCCUUCCUGGCUUGCUAAAGCUUAAAAAAAAAAGAAGAAAUCUUAAAUCUAAACAGAAACAAAAGCUAGAAACAUGGACAAGAAUGAAUCCAAGAGGGAGAAAAAAAGUUCUCUGGAUCUCUGUUCUUCCUGAGAAGAAGAAGAUUGUACUGUCGAAAGAAAGCUGAGAAUCUCACACCCAAGGAACACUUUCUUGAUCAAAUACCCCAAGAAAGGUCCCCUUCCAAAACUAAAAAAGAACAAAUGCUUCCUUUCUUGAAACCUUUUUGUCACCUGCUGCUUCUACCAAGGAUCAGAGUUCAGAGAACAAACCUGCUGCCGCCGUCGCCGGCGACGAUUGGGUGCCUCGUCGUGGAUCGCUCAGCCUCACCGGGGAAGUGGAGUGGGUUUGGGUUGGGGAGAAGGCUUGGCUGUGGUGGGGUUUGGUGGCGUGUGUGGGGGGCGGAGGAGGAGGAGGAGGCG